rnacentral:rRNA from 1 species
GACGAACGCUGGCGGCGUGCUUAACACAUGGAAGUCGAACGGGAAGGCCCUGCUUUUGUGGGUUGCUCGAGUGGCGAACGGGUGAGUAACACGUGAGUAACCUGCCCUUGACUUUUGGAUAACUUCAGGAAACUGGGGCUAAUACCGGAUAGGAUCUCCUGCUGCAUGGUGGGGGUUGGAAAGUUUCGGCGGUUGGGGAUGGACUCGCGGCUUAUCAGCUUGUUUGUGGGGUAGUGGCUUACCAAGGCUUUGACGGGUAGCCGGCCUGAGAGGGUGACCGGCCACAUUGGGACUGAGAUACGGCACAGACUCCUACGGGAGGCAGGAGUGGGAAAUAUAGCACAAUGGGCGGAAGCCAGAUGCAGCAACGCCGUGUGCGGGAUGACGGCCUUCGGGUUGUAAACCGAUUUCGCCUGUGACGAAGAGUGAGUGACGGUAAUGUGUAAAGAAGCAACGGCUAACUACGUG